rnacentral:rRNA from 1 species
GAUGAACGCUGGCGGCGUGCUUAACACAUGCAAGUCGAACGGAAAGGCUCCUGCUUGCAGGGGUUCUCGAGUGGCGAACGGGUGAGUAACACGUGGGUGAUCUGCUCUGCACUUCGGGAUAAGCCUGGGAAACUGGGUCUAAUACCGGAUAGGACGAUGGCUUGGAUGCCAUUGUGGAAAGUUUUUCGGUGUGGGAUGAGCUCGCGGCCUAUCAGCUUGUUGGUGGGGUAAUGGCCUACCAAGGCGUCGACGGGUAGCCGGCCUGAGAGGGUGUACGGCCACAUUGGGACUGAGAUACGGCCCAGACUCCUACGGGAGGCAGCAGUGGGGAAUAUUGCACAAUGGGCGCAAGCCUGAUGCAGCGACGCCGCGUGGGGGAUGACGGCCUUCGGGUUGUAAACUCCUUUCGCUAGGGACGAAGCGCAAGUGACGGUACCUGGAGAAGAAGCACCGGCUAACUACGUG